AUUGAACGCUGGCGGCAGGCCUAACACAUGCAAGUCGAGCGGGGUUUUCGGACCUAGCGGCGGACGGGUGAGUAAUGCGUAGGAAGCUACCCGAUAGAGGGGGAUACCAGUUGGAAACGACUGUUAAUACCGCAUAAUGUCUACGGACCAAAGUGUGGGACCUUCGGGCCACAUGCUAUCGGAUGAGCCUACGUGGGAUUAGCUAGUUGGUGAGGUAAUGGCUCACCAAGGCGACGAUCCCUAGCUGGUUUGAGAGGAUGAUCAGCCACACUGGAACUGAGACACGGUCCAGACUCCUACGGGAGGCAGCAGUGGGGAAUAUUGGACAAUGGGCGCAAGCCUGAUCCAGCCAUGCCGCGUGUGUGAAGAAGGCCUUCGGGUUGUAAAGCACUUUCAGUAGGGAGGAAGCGUUGUGUGUUAAUAGUACACAGCGUUGACGUUACCUACAGAAGAAGCACCGGCUAACUCUGUGCCAGCCGCCGCUGUAAAAC
rnacentral:rRNA from 1 species